CAGCCAUCGGCAGCACAUAUACUAAAAUUGGAACGAUACGGAGAAGAUUAGCAUGGCCCCUGUGCAAGGAUGACACGCAAAUUCGUGAAGCAAAAAAAAAAUCA